CGUUCCUACGGGAGGCAGCAGUGGGGGAUAUUGCACAAUGGGGGGAACCCUGAUGCAGCGACGCCGCGUGGGCGAUGGAGUACUUCGGUAUGUAAAGCCCUAUCAGCAGGGAAGAAAAUGACGGUACCUGACUAAGAAGCCCCGGCUAAAUACGUGCCAGCAGCCGCGGUAAUACGUAUGGGGCAAGCGUUAUCCGGAUUUAUUGGGUUUAAAGGGUGCGUAGGCGGUCCGUUAAGUCAGCGGUAAAAUUGCGGGGCUCAACCCCGUCGAGCCGUUGAAACUGGCAGACUUGAGUUGGCGAGAAG
rnacentral:rRNA from 1 species